rnacentral:rRNA from 1 species
UGGGGAAUAUUGGACAAUGGGCGAAAGCCUGAUCCAGCCAUGCCGCGUGGGUGAAGAAGGCCCUAGGGUUGUAAAUCCCUUUCAGCGGGGAAGAUAAUGACGGUACCCGCAGAAGAAGCCCCGGCUAACUCCGUGCCAGCAGCCGCGGUAAUACGGAGGGGGCUAGCGUUGUUCGGAAUUACUGGGCGUAAAGCGCACGUAGGCGGGCUGUUUAGUCAGUGGUGAAAUCCCGGGGCUCAACCUCGGAAUUGCCUCUGAUACUGGCAGCCUUGAGUCCGGGAGAGGUGAGUGGAAUUCCGAGUGUAGAGGUGAAAUUCGUAGAUAUUCGGAGGAACACCAGUGGCGAAGGCGGCUCACUGGCCCGGUACUGACGCUGAGGUGCGAAAGCGUGGGGAGCAAACAGGAUUAGAUACCCCCGUAGUCC